rnacentral:rRNA from 1 species
AACGUAGGAGACGAGCGUUAUCCGGAUUUACUGGGCGUAAAGAGCGCGCAGGCGGUCGUUCAAGUCGCGUGUGAAAGCCCCCGGCUCAACUGGGGAGGGUCACGCGAUACUGAUCGACUGGAAGGCAGGAGAGGGUAGUGGAAUUCCCGGUGUAGUGGUGAAAUGCGUAGAUAUCGGGAGGAACACCAGUGGCGAAGGCGACUACCUGGCCUGUUCUUGACGCUGAGGCGCGAAAGCUAGGGGAGCAAACGGG